AGAACCUAAGGCAAAUGAGAGUGGGAUAUCCAUGGAUAAUCUAGCCAUGAGAGGGCAGUGAGACACAGCUUAUGGUGAAAGCCAUGCUUUCAGAAAUUACUUCGAAAUUCCCCUGACCUUGCUCCACCGUGGAACAAAUAAAUACAAAGGUUUGCUCCUGCUCUUGCUGAGUGGAGAAAUUAAUCCAAACCCAAGAUGCUUUUACAGCACAGGUGGGAAAGAUUCUAAAUAUAAACAGGACAGCUCUGUGUGUGCCUUGUGAUUGCAGAAAUAAUAGAUGUAUAAUAUCUAUCUAUUACACAUAUCCUAUGUAAUAGGCACUAAAUAUAUCCUAUAUUUCAAUAAAUAUAAUACAAUAUAAAGUUAUAAUAUAUGUUAUUUAUAAAAUAUUAUAAAUUCAAGUUAUCCUAUUACAGUUUAUGCUUGCAUUGAAUAUAUAAUAUUUUCCUGCCUAUUGCUGAAGGAAAACAUCUGGAGUCCGGUAACUACUGCAGCAGGUACCCAGAGAGGUUGAGGGGUCUCCAUCCGUGGAGAUAUUCCAAACUGAAAGGCCCUGGGAGCACAGGGCCCUGCAGAGGUCCUGGCCCAAGUAUGUGACUAAUCUUUGACGACUGGGAGUACUGCAGCCACCCAAUAAAGUCUAAGUAGUUAGUCCUAAAUUGCACAUGCCAAGCAGCUUGCAGAAGUCUUCUGCCAUCUUUGUUUCUCUGAUGCAUCUCAGGUAGUUUGUGACGUGAGUCGUGAAUGGAAAGAGGAAGGAUAGAGACAUUAAAAGAUCAAAGAUUUGGUGUUAAGUCCUCCCUGCUCAGUCCAUGCCUGUGCAUUCCCCAUUAAUCACUCUGUGCCCCUCUACUCUGUAAGCAAAUUAUCAGGGUGGUUAAAUGCAGCUAAGGUGACAAUAUUUAGAGUUUCCCAUGUCUUAUCCUCCAAGCCAUACCCAGGUAGGUCUCCAGACAGACCUUGUAAGACUGAGCACAGGAUGAGCUCCCGUGUGAUCUGGACUAACCAAGCAAUGAGGUCAGGGUAGGAUAAUGGGGCAAAGUGAGCUCUGCUACAAGGAAAUGUCAUGUUGAUAAAUGCAACUGCAACGUUUUUUAUAAACAAAAUUAAACUUCAUUUGCUUCAGAGUAGCUAAUGUGCCGUUAAUUCAAAGCCCACAGAAGAACUCACUGGACACAGUUAAUAGUCAGCAGCGCAGAUAGGCCAGGCUUUGAAAGCAUUUAAUAUUCACUGAAGUGCUGCUUGUAUCCAAUUAUAACUCACUACUUGCCAUCUUAAUAAUUUAAAUCUGUCCACUCUCUAAAGAGGAAAAAAAUGCACUAAUCAAAGACAUGAAUGCACCUUUUGCUUUUGACAGCAUCAAAUUAAAACUAAAUGGUAGAUCUUGAAUGAAUUACUUUGAAAGAAUAAAGGCAUUAAUGAGGUAAUUUCAUUAUAGAGGCUCAUCCAAGCCUAUGUGAAAACAAGGGAAGUAAAUGGAGAGGAAAGCCGCCGAGGAAAUUAGGGUUCCUUCCACACUAAUUAAUGUUUGGGGGCAUUUAGUACAGGCACCAAAUUAACUGCUCCAAAGAACGCCAUUGACAAAAAAAAAGACAUUGUUGCCCUGCCAUGUAAUUAGAAGACAGUACAAGCAGAACACUUAAUGAGUAAAAAGCCAGCCUUUAACUUACUCUGCCCAGCUUCUGAAAACAUGCCUUUGUAGAGGCCUAAGUUUAAGGAAGCACUGGGCGUACAAUAUAGGAUUGUUUAGGUCCUUCUGGUCGCUGAGCUGUAAACAGGUAGCCCUGAAUGACAGACUCUGAGACUCCUGGGAGGCCUGGCUUCCCAGAAAAAAAAAAAAAAAAAGGGAAAAAAAAAAAAAAAGAAAAAAAAAAGUCUUAAAUGCAUCCAGAAAGAAGCAAAAAAAAAAAAAAAGGUGAAUAGACCCAGCCCGGCAGAGCCAGCACAGUGAAUGCUCACCGCUGUCUUAAGUGAUUACAUGAUGUUGUGCCACCCCCUCUCAUUGAGUUAUCUUUACACUGCUUUUGUCUCCUCUAAUUGAAGCUGAUGAGGUGCUAAUUGGUUGCUUUUUAAAAAAAGCACUACUUAAGCACUGGCAAACAGAGUAAGACAGCGUGAGUGGAGUUAAUGAGGGCUUAGGGGGAAAAAAAAAAAACACACCAUAAAAACCAAAACCAACCAUCCUCAAAACCCAAACCUAAAUAGCUAUGAGGGUUUGAGUUUUGAGAGAGAAAGGGACAGUUCCAGCACUAAAUGAAUGCCCACACUAUGGCUAGCGUCCUUGGCAUUCUCUCUUUUUUUUUUUUUAAUUUAACGUGCUGCCAUCAGAGUAUUAAAUCUGUCACUACAGAUGGAGCCAGAGGUUCUGCCUUUGCCAUAUGCAAAUGCAUUUCCUCAAAAAGGGUUAACAUAACAUUAAAUACUUUGUAUUUUCCUUGUAUUCUGUAGGUGGGUCGAUACCAGCUCCUGGUUUUCAAGACCAAUUCUGUAGUUCCCAGCUACUGAGAGUAUUCUGAGUGCUAAAGGAGAGUACAAAAAGGCCUUGCUCUAUUGCUGGUGUUGCCUGGCAAGACAGAAACAAUAAUUCUGCACACAUGGAAGCACAGGAUGCUUUUUCAGGCUGUUUGUCCAAGUAAGCAACACUCUUACGGCUCCAGGAAGAGGCUGCCCUCUGAUGACAGGUUCAGAAUCUCUGGCACUGGCUCAGGACCAACAGUCAACUCUGGAAAUUCUUCAGAUCCAGCAGCUUAGCAGUUUCCUAUUGGACGAGAAGAGGAAAGUGGAAACUCCUCCAGUCAGCUCAAGAAGACAAGGAACUUUUCAGCAAGACAAUUUUGAUUACCUAUUUAUGUAGAUGAACAAUAAAGUGGCAGGGCUUCUCCUUUCCUCACUUCGUUUUUUUUACCUGUGUAUAGAAAACCCAAUCAGUAUACAAACAACGAGUUUCUUUGGUUUGUGUUUAUGCUUGGUAACUUGUAGCUCUAUUCACAUUCUAAACUGGAUUCUUUUCAUUUUAAUGCAUGGUCACUUAUUUUCUUUUGGUUGUCAGGAAAACAAGGGAUCUCUUGCUGGCUGCUAGAAAGAAAUUUCCUAGAGAACAAAGAUACAACCAGUUCCUCCAAACGGGUGCCCAUAGCCAUCCAGCUAUAAAACAGCCAAGAAAGAUGCAAAACUGGUAAACCAUGCUUUUUCCUGCAGAGGCAGAGAGCAAUUCAGUGGUUGCAAAGCUCCUGGAGUGCCAUGUGCCAAAUCACCUUUGUAAUUCGCAUUGUCUUUGCUAGAGUAGAGCAUUUUUGGUUUGUUUCUGGUGGGACCUGAUUGCAUUUUCAGACCAUCUUAUCUGUUGCUCUUACCAUCAGGGGGAAAUAAACCUCAUCUUUGAUCUCAGAGGGAAUUUGGCAGCUAUCCCUGCAGGAGAGGUGGCAGAUGGCAGCGUA